ACCAUUCUAAGACUGAUUUUGACUCCCAACCUUGCCAACACUUGACUAAUCCAUAAGAAAGUUGGCAUGCAGUAUCAUCUAUCAGGCCUGGAAUCCCAGUUAACAAAAUUUUGUGCCUGGUAAUAUCUAAAUCAGAAGACAGAACUCAAGGACCAAAAAAAAAGUUAUGAUUAAUGAGAAAAAUCAGCACCAAGAAAUAAAACUGUUAAGAAAUAUCUGGAGGAAAAACAUUGCAAGACAUAACCAGACAUUUGGAGAAAGAAAAGUUGCAAUAUAAUGUUAACUCAAAUGGAGUGGGGGAUGGACAUACAUGGCUUUUGAAAUAGGAGUUACCAAUCUUCGAUUCAGUAGAACGUCAGAGUUAUGAACUGACUGAUCAACCAUACACCUCAUUUGGAACCGGAAGU